ensembl:lncRNA
ACCUUGACCAAUAGGAAAUGACAUGUGGUUUACUGACUAGUUCUUUUUGAAAAAGGGAACGUAUAGCCUUAUUAUUUUUGCUUGUCGAAAAACAAACUUUACCACAAAUCGUAUCAUCUAGCUGCAAUAGAGACACACGUUUAGAGUAUGAAAUACCUCUACAUAAAGAAACAACACUCAAAGAGAUAGCACCAAUUACAGAGGCAAAUUCUUUAGGGGAAACAGGGAGGUUGAAGUAUGAAAGAAACUCAUCAACUGACCAACCACAAGAAUGCCCUCAUCAAACCAAGUUUUCAAAAAUAUACUCUUAUGUUUGUACAAAAUAUUACAAUUAUUCCAGAUGUAAUAAUGAUGUGAAGAAAAAUUAUGCUUGUAAAUUAACUUCCAAGCCAAAAGUGCUUGCCUGUGAAAAGCUGACAGUUUAACUGGAAGUUUCUCGAUUCUGUAAUCACACAUAAGCAAAAAUGAAAGGCCACCAAGUUUGUCAAAAACCGAUUUAGAAAUCAUAUUCCACAUAGAAUCAGUGUUGUUUAGAAAAUAUUUCAACCAGUUAAUUUUGAAAGUGUUAUUUAACGUAGAAAAAUCUAAAUAAUCAAGCCCUCCAUUUUUAUAAGAAUUAACAAUCACAGAUUUUCUAAUGUAGUGUAUACGGUUUUUCCACAAAAAAUUCAGCAUAAUUUGAUCAAUUAUCUUAUUUUAUUAUCUGAGUGUAUUGAGGAAGCUAUAUAAGUAAGCCUAGAAAUACCUUCCGCUUUAGCCAGCAGAACACGACCUUUGAGAGACAAGUCCCUCUGCAACCAAAUAUUAAAUCUAUUCUUUACUUUUUUAAUCACCGGAUCGAAAUUUUGUGAGAUUCUCUCCUGCUCAUUUUUAGUAAUAACCAUACCUAAAUAAGUUAGAGAAUCCUUUACAGGGAUAUUACAUAUAUUUCUGUAAUGGCAACUUUUUAAAGCAAAUAGUUCACAUUUUUGUAAAUUAAGGCACAGACCUGAGGCACUGGAAAAAACUUCAAUAAUCUUGACAGCUGACUGAAUUUGAUCAACAUUUUUCAGGAAAAGAGCCGUGUCAUCAGCCAGCUGACUUAUCAGGAUACUUCUCUCUUCAACUUGAAUUCCU